rnacentral:rRNA from 1 species
GAUGAACGCUGGCGGCGUGCCUAAUACAUGCAAGUCGAGCGAACGGACGAGAAGCUUGCUUCUCUGAUGUUAGCGGCGGACGGGUGAGUAACACGUGGAUAACCUACCUAUAAGACUGGGAUAACUUCGGGAAACCGGAGCUAAUACCGGAUAAUAUUUUGAACCGCAUGGUUCAAAAGUGAAAGACGGUCUUGCUGUCACUUAUAGAUGGAUCCGCGCUGCAUUAGCUAGUUGGUAAGGUAACGGCUUACCAAGGCAACGAUGCAUAGCCGACCUGAGAGGGUGAUCGGCCACACUGGAACUGAGACACGGUCCAGACUCCUACGGGAGGCAGCAGUAGGGAAUCUUCCGCAAUGGGCGAAAGCCUGACGGAGCAACGCCGCGCGAGUGAUGAAGGUCUUCGGAUCGUAAAACUCUGUUAUUAGGGAAGAACAUAUGUGUAAGUAACUGUGCACAUCUUGACGGUACCUAAUCAGAAAGCCACGGCUAACUACGUGCCAGCAGCCGCGGUAAUACGUAGGUGGCAAGCGUUAUCCGGAAUUAUUGGGCGUAAAGCGCGCGUAGGCGGUUUUUUAAGUCUGAUGUGAAAGCCCACGGCUCAACCGUGGAGGGUCAUUGGAAACUGGAAAACUUGAGUGCAGAAGAGGAAAGUGGAAUUCCAUGUGUAGCGGUGAAAUGCGCAGAGAUAUGGAGGAACACCAGUGGCGAAGGCGACUUUCUGGUCUGUAACUGACGCUGAUGUGCGAAAGCGUGGGGAUCGAACAGGAUUAGAUACCCUGGUAGUCCACGCCGUAAACGAUGAGUGCUAAGUGUUAGGGAGUUUCCGCCCCUUAGUGCUGCAGCUAACGCAUUAAGCACUCCGCCUGGGGAGUACGACCGCAAGGUUGAAACUCAAAGGAAUUGACGGGGACCCGCACAAGCGGUGGAGCAUGUGGUUUAAUUCGAAGCAACGCGAAGAACCUUACCAAAUCUUGACAUCCUUUGACAACUCUAGAGAUAGAGCCUUCCCCUUCGGGGGACAAAGUGACAGGUGGUGCAUGGUUGUCGUCAGCUCGUGUCGUGAGAUGUUGGGUUAAGUCCCGCAACGAGCGCAACCCUUAAGCUUAGUUGCCAUCAUUAAGUUGGGCACUCUAAGUUGACUGCCGGUGACAAACCGGAGGAAGGUGGGGAUGACGUCAAAUCAUCAUGCCCCUUAUGAUUUGGGCUACACACGUGCUACAAUGGACAAUACAAAGGGCAGCGAAACCGCGAGGUCAAGCAAAUCCCAUAAAGUUGUUCUCAGUUCGGAUUGUAGUCUGCAACUCGACUACAUGAAGCUGGAAUCGCUAGUAAUCGUAGAUCAGCAUGCUACGGUGAAUACGUUCCCGGGUCU